rnacentral:rRNA from 1 species
AUGGCACGCGGCGGCGGGAUGCAGGCACAGGCGCGCCACCGCGGGAGACGCCCUGGAGAUGUUCGAGGUGCGGGGCCCCUGGCCACCGACGAAGAGGAGGAGAGAUCGGAUACGGUGCGUCGCUGGUGGCUCCGGCGGUUGGACCACGGGCGGCGGCGGCGGCGGCAGUCACGAGUCGAACUCGGAUUGCGUGGUUUCUACGCGGCGGGGCAUCAGGGGUCGAUCUAUAUCUGGCGGGCUGCGGGGAUAGAUCGCACUUUUCCUUCGAUCCUGCGAGCAAGCCGUCCCCUCGAUAGAUCACGCGCGACGUUCCCUGACGACCUAACAACCCGGCGAGCUUCUCUCGCCGACGGCGAGCAAAGAAUCCGGCGAGUUUCCUCUUUCUUAUCCGAUCAUCAUUUGAAUUUCAGCAUCGCAAUUGUUCUAUUACUACUUGUUUCGCUUGUGCAAUCACUUGGUCUCUCUGUUCUUUGCUGUGUCCUGUGUUUCGCAGAGAUGGCUAGUCAUGUCGCUGCGACCCUGCCGCCGCUGCUUCCUACCCCGGCGCGCUGCCACCUCCUGACGCCUCCUCCGGCAGUGUACACGGCUCGUGUGGAGCUGGACACCAAGAAGCAGCAGCCUGGACGUGCCUCGAUGAGCCGAAGCUGGAUCAGAGACAAGAUCGACCUUCCCGGACGUGCUUCCCGGAGCUCCAGCUGGGCCACUGACAAGACGCUCCGCCGUGCCAAGAGUUUGAACGGCGGCGUCGAGCGCCUCGGCCGCGUGGAGACGCCGAGAGAGAACUGGAAGAGGCCGGCGAGCCGCGCGCCAUCCGUCGACCGGUGCGACAAGAAGCCGAGGCCUCCGACUGAGAUGGUGGCAGCCUCGGAGGAAUCAAUCUCCGCCGGCCCCGCCCCGCCGGCCGGCCGGUUCGAGAAGAAGGCGACGCCUAUGACUGAGAUGGUCGCAGACUCGGUGGUGACGUCCUUCCCUGGCCCUGCUCCGUCGAUCGACCUCUCGGAGAAGAAGGCAGAGCCUACGACUGAGAUGGUGGCAGACUCGGAGGCGGCGACACUCUUCGCUGGUCCUGCGGCGUCGGUUGACCGGUCGGAGAAGAAGCCAAUGCCGCCGGCCGUGGUGGAGGCAUCACCCUUCGCUGGCCUCGCUCCGUUGAUGUACCGGCCCGACAAGAAGCCGAAGGCUCUGGCUAAGAUGGAGGUGGACUCGGAGGCAUCCUUGUUCGCUGGCCCGACAUUCAUGAUGUCGCCGGACCCGAGCGAGCUGCCCAUGCCGACCUUCAUCAUGUCGGCGGAUCCGAGCGAGCUGCCCAUGCCAACCUUCCUCCAUAAGCACAAGGUCGCUAAAGUGUUAGCUAGACUAGUCGCUCCGAUGCUCAUUGAUCAGCAAGAUUGA